AUUUCCCAGAGAAGUGGGUCCAGGAGAAGGGCAGAUUCUAUGUUUUCUCCACUGAUACCAUGGACUGGAACAGCAGCAGAGAACGCUGUCAGGAUCUGGGAGGAGACCUGGUCAUCAUCAACAGCAUGGAGGAGCAGGUACAGAUAAUAUAACAUCAUUGGAACUUAUCAUUUCAGACGAAAGAUGUACACUGAACUUAAAUAAAACAAGCUGCAGAUUAAAUGAUCUCUAUAUAUCUGUCAUGACAACUCUGGAGUGUUUAGCAUGGUAAUGAAUAAGACAAUGUUGAUAUGUUUGGUCUUGGCAGAAUAGAUCUGGUGCUGCUGCUGCUUUUAUUGCUGCUGCUGCUAUUGAUUAUUGCUGCUGCAGAGCAAUACGGGACUUGCUUCUGCUAAUACACACACGACACGCUGCUGUGAGCAAGUAAGACAUGCUGCUGCUGUAGCAUACAUGAAUUACCCGUAGCAGAUCUAUACAGGUGGACCUGGGGAAGGUGGAGGGUUUCUGAAAGCACGCUGCAAACUGCUAAAGCAAAUGCUGACCAAGUAUUUGAAGGUUGAGGGGCGAGCUCAUUGGCUAAAGAAUCAAUCAGCUGUGCCCUAUAGAGAAUGAUAUGAUUGCAAGCAGAUUGAGUUAAGGACCUAUCAGCCUGCGCUAUCUAGAGUUUCAUGACCAAACUUUCUUUUGUAGAAAUUUCUUGCAAAACAAAUACGCAUUAUUGGCGCAAACACAUUAUAUUGGAUUGGACUGACCGAUAGCCGCACUGAAGGUGUUUGGCUGUGGGUGGAUGAAACCAAGAAUCAUCUUAGGCAAGUAUUAUUUUAAAUAUCUGUGUUGAUAAAUGUAUAUGAUGUUUAAAAUGUCCCGUUUGGUUACAGUAUGAUACCUUUUUUAUGCAUCUUUACUGUUUAAUUAAUUAAUUAAUUAUUUAUUAAUUUAUUUAUUUAUUUGUCAGUUUCUGGGGACAGCCUCCUGAUGAUUACAAAUCAGCAGACAAUCCUCUGGGUGAAGACUGUGUUAUAUUGAAUGGACGAAUGAUUGAGCCGAUGUGGGGAGAUGUUUUUUGCUUGAGGAAAGAGAGAAGCAUUUGUGAGAUUCCAUAUAGGAAAUCUACCAGACAGACGAAAUGUAGAGCUAUCUAUGCCGUGAUUGCUGUUCUCCUCCUCCUGUCUCUGCUUGGUAAUGGGGUGCUGGCAUACUUGUAUUUCACUAAAGAAAAAAAUAUGUUGUUGCAUUGUGAGCCAGUAACAAACUGCUCAUAUUCAGACCAUGAACAAGACAGUCCAGGGUGCACGUAUGAGGAGGAAUGGAGGUCAUUAAAUUAUUGCCCAGAUUUGCCAGAGCAGUGGUUAAAAGGCAACGACACAUUCUAUGUUUUCUCCAACCACAACAAGAACUGGAGCUCCAGCAGAAAGCACUGUCAAGAUCUGGGUGGUGAUUUGGUCAUUAUUAACAACACAGAGGAGAAGGAAUUUCUUGCUCGGAGACUAUGUGUUGAUGAAUCUGAUCUCUACUGGGCUGGGAACAGUGAUGGGAACUGGGCAGAUCCGGAUUCCAAACAACACAACUGUGCUGUACUCAAAGGAAAUACACAAGAAGACAUUUCUUGCUUGAGAGAGGAGAGGAGCAUUUGUGAGAUUCCAUGCCUUCAGUAGACCUAUAGAUUAUUAUUAUUAUUAUUAUUUUUUAUGGUUGACUUCUUGUCUUAUUAUGCUGUGCCCUCGUUUAAUGAGUAAGCCUCAGGCUGAAGGAAAUGCAUAUUUACGCCUGUACAGUAGAGGACACAGCUCAAAAAACCUUUCAGCUGUGCUCCAUUCUGGAUUAAAGAAGAAUAGAAUACAGGAGAAGGGAGUUCAACACUCUUAUUUCUGAAUCUAAAGUUUGCAUCCCAGUUUUUGCUUAUUAGUAUGGUUGAAUUAGAUGAUGGUCAGCAGCAAAGACAUUGUUUAAUAAAGUGAGAUUAAAUGCAUAAA